UAUAUUAAAUAGUGUGAGUGAGUGACCUAAGAUAGGGCCACAACGAAAGAAGCCAUAAGAAGAGAUUCUAGAUCAAAGCUCUUCCACUUGCUUUUCUGCAUAAUUCACUCCUUCAUAUAUAAAGUGCAACUGUUGAAGAUUUCAGGCUGUAAAAACUUGUAAGACCAAUGGCUUCUGAUUAUUUUGACAAGACUCAACCAUUUGCAAUUAUAUCAACUAUGAUUUCUUUGAUUAAAAUAUAAGAUACAUGGCUGAUUCAACCGACAACCCCUCUUCAUCUAGUAAACUUAGAAGAGUUAGAGGUCCAACUUUGAUGAUACAAAUUGACAAAGUUCAUCAAACGGGUGAAAAGAUAAAGGUUGAGUUUGACCCAAGAACCUAUGAAUGUACUGGUGUUGGUAAAAAUGCUGCAAAUUUUAGGAGUUAUAUAGCAUCUCUUGCUUGGCAGAGAUGUUCUAUUUUGAAAGAUGAGUGGAAAGACAUAGAUAAUGGGAUAAAAGACAUUAUAUGGCUUGAUUUUCAGGCUCAUUUCACUAUUCCAGAAUGUUGUGAUAAAUACAAGGAUGGUAAAAUCUAGGAUCCGUUGAAGAAGGAAUGGAUUAAAUAUGAAGGAGAGCGAUGGAGAGGUUUUAAGACACAACUCAGAGACGAAUAUGUUAAUAAUCCUAAAAAAGAUCUCGCUCCUGCACAUGUCAGGUAUAAUUAUAUUAAAGAAGAAGUAUGGGAAGAGUUUCUGAAGUAUCGAGAUACCCCCGCAUUUAAGGUUUGUAGGAGUUAUAUUUGAGUUUUUUUCAAUAACAUUUUAUUAUGCUUAGUGAUUACUUUUUUAGUUUAUAAUUAAUAGGAAAAAAAUCAAAAGGGUAAGGAAAAUGUGGCUAGGAAUGUAUACCCACACAUAUUAUCUCGUGAAGGAUAUCACUUGCUUGUGGAGACAAUUAAAAAUGAAAGGAUAUCAUUGAGAGAUGAUUCUACAUUAGAUGAUAAUGAUAGUCCAUCUCCACCGUCACACCAUGAGUUAUGGAAGAAAGCACGACAAAAGAAAGGGGGAGAAUACACAUUAAAACAUACACAAGUUAUUGCUGAGAAAAUUGAUUCUCUAGUUGAAGAAGCUGAAAAAGGUGUCUUUGUUCCAGAUGGACGUAACGAUAUCUUAACAGCAGCCAUUGGAACAUCUGAGCAUGGCGGUCGUGUUCGUGGUGUUGGAAAAAAUGGAAGUAGUCGAAGGAAGCGGAAAAAGAAGGUUUUCAGCUGCUAAUUAAGGAAGCACAAAAGACGUGGAAGUUGACGAUGUUCAGAUAUUGUUACUCAUGGUUGUGGAAAUGACUGACAGACACUUGGAAAAGGAAUUAAGUCAUUGUUGAUUUGUCGCUAAUUUUUAUAUGUCAGCUAAGUGUAUCAGAGAGUUGUUGAUGGGUUUUCAUUGGCUUGACGUGUCUACUCUGCAAGUUUGGUGCACGUAUAUUCAUCGUGUAUGAAUUGAUAAUUCCACAUAUGAAGUAUAUGGAAUUAUGGACCCUGCUAUGUGUAUAUAUGUUGAUAUUGUGACAAAAACUCAAGCAGGUGUUAAAAAAUACAUACAAGAUAAGUUAGAGAGGAAAAACAGAGUGUGUCACUUACUACCACUUAUUCUUGGAUAAAAUUUUAUGAAAUUGUGUUUUGUAUUUUUUUAAUUUUGUUAACAUAGAUAUUUUAUGUGACUUUUGUGUUUCUACACACACGUACAAACGGCAUUGGCAAUUAAUAGUCAUGUGUUCGAGAGACAAUAUUGUGGUCGUCUUUUGUUGACUUCAUCGGGAAAUUGAUGAAAACAUGAAGAAAAUUGU